GUAGAUUACCACGACUCCCCUGUGUGUAACUAUGGACGCCUUCAGGACAGACAAAGUUGCCAAGUCGCAGCCGGCUCCUAUCAGAGUCUAUGACUACUAUGAGCCAAGUAACCAAGUGACGAAGUUCUACCAAUCCACAGUGCUGAAGAACUCUGGUGUCUGUGAUGUCUGUAAUGAAUGUGGUUGUCAUGGACAACAUUAGAGUGAAAUAAUGGAAAACGGCCAAAGUUAGUUCUGCACGAAUGUUUUAUAUCUUAUGUAUACAUUACUUUUUGUAUUGUUCUCUCUGUAAAUAAAAGAAAUGAUUUUUGA